UUAUGUCUUGGAAGUCUUGGUUUCCAAGACAGGAAGUCUAUGGGAGGCAACACAAAGUUUCCACUGGAUUGAGGAGGACUGAUCCAAUCACAGAGAGAGGGUUGAUUGCUGACCGAAUGAGGACAAGGACGUUAUUUAUUUAUUAGAAAGGUUAACAUAGCCUAGCCUGGUCUGGAACUCAUAAUCCUCCUGCCUCAAGUUCCUAAACGCUGCGAUUACAGGGAGCUCCACAAGGAGGGGAUAGACAUCGGUUAGUGAAGUUGCAAAUUCCCACCAAAUCUCCAAUAGCUGGGAUUGAAGGAGCAGCACAGAGACGUCAUACUCGCGCUCCAUCAGGCCGCAUCAGGUGAACUGAAUGCUAUGUAAGUGUUGUGUCAGAGAUGUGAGGGGCGAUCGUGGCAACACAGAGGGAUGCUAUCACGAGUUGGGAGUAAUCCGAAGGGAGAUUUGCAGAAUUCUGGUUGCUCUGUUCCUGGAAGUCAGGCUUCCAAGAGGAGUUGACAUGGACCAAUGGGGUUUCGCCACAUAGCCAAGACAACGGGGUCUCUGCUGAGUUCACACUGUUGCCUUUGGUGAACUUCAACCCUGAAUAAAACCUUUCUUUUGGGCGUGACGCUGGGGACUAAAGCCGGUCUUCACACAUACUAGGCAAGUGUUCUUUCUACCAACGAGGUACAUCCCUAGGCCUUCUAUGUACUUCUGAUUUUUGAGAGAAUCAAAAGUCUGUGUGAAACGCUGAUUUUGGACUUUGGUUCUCUGGCUUCCGCUUCCAGAGUGCUGAGGUAAGUGUGUUCCACCAUGCUGCGUUCCUGAUAUUUGCCUCACAGCAAAGUUAAAAAAACUGUUCGUGUUCUCUGUUUAUGUAGCGAGCUCUGUAUAUCCCUCAGGAGUUCCUCCAAAGGAAUGAGCCUGUAACAUCAUUGUACAGGGAGCCAUCAGAAACAGGCUCAGCACUGCUAAGCUACUCUUCCCUGAUCCACAGACUUGAAUUUUUAUCAUUAUCUGGACUGAUUUAGGCUCAUAGAAAAGCCUUUAUUUUCCUUCAAACUUUUGAGCGUUCUGUCACUGGCUCGCUGGCAGAAGAUUAAGAAAGAGACACAUAAACAAUUAACAAAGAAACAGUAAUGGAAAAAGUGAACCCUCGCCAGUCAUGCCUGC
rnacentral:lncRNA from 1 species